rnacentral:rRNA from 1 species
UGUCUAAGUAUAAGCAUUUAUAUUGUGAAACUGCGAAUGGCUCAUUAAAUCAGUUAUUGUUUAUUUGACAGUGUUUUACUACAUGGAUAACUGUGGUAAUUCUAGAGCUAAUACAUGCAACAAGCCCUGACUUCGGAAAGGGUGUAUUUAUUAGAUUGCAAGCCAACACGCUUUCGGGCGUUCUGUGGUGACUCAUAAUAACUUAACUCAGCACAUAGCCUUGCGCUGGUGCGAGGUCAUUCAAAUAUCUGCCCUAUCAAGUUUCGAUGUGAGGGUAGUGUCCUCACAUGCUUUUGACGGGUAACGGGGAAUUAGGGUUCGACUCCGGAGAGGGAGCCUGAGAAACGGCUACCACAUCCAAGGAAGGCAGCAGGCGCGCAAAUUACCCAAUCCCGACACGGGGAGGUAGUGACAAGAAAUACCGAUACAGGGUCCUUUGUGAUCGUGUGGUUGGAAUGAGUACAAUUUAAACCCAUUAACGAGGAACAACUGAAGGGCAAGUCUGGUGCCAGCAGCCGCGGUAAUUCCAGCUUCAGGAGCAUACAUUAAAGUUGUUGCGGUUGAAACGCCCGUAGUUGAAGUUUGGGCCGAGUCUACUGGUCCGUCUCACCACGUGUACUGGUGUGACUUGGCCUUUCCUCUUGGAGCACCACAUGCUCUUAAGCUGAGUGUGCUGGGAAACCAGGACUUUUACUUUGAAAAAAUUAGAGUGUUCAAAGCAGGCGCAUGCUCGAAUACCUUAGCAUGGAAUAAUGCAAUACGACGUCAGUUUUAUUCGUUGGUUUCUGGGACUGACGUAAUGAUUAUAGGGAUAGU